CCGAGUGUAAAAACUCCCAAACCCAUGUGAACCUACCUCUGUUGCUUCGGCAGGAACGCCCCGGGCGCCCCCCCUCCGGGGGAGGUGCCCCGGACCCAGGCGCCUGCCGGGGGACAUGAACUUCUGUAUCUUGUGUAUCUUCUGAGUGGAUUUCAUAAAUCAAUCA
rnacentral:misc_RNA from 1 species